CAUCUUUCUAGGGUUUCAGAUUUGCUUCCAGUAAUCAAAAGGGUAUGCUCUUGGGAGUGCUUUAAGGGGCUCAGUUUGUUUGCCUCAAAUUGGUACCCAAUCUGAAGAGGAGGUUUGUUGGAAAAAAAUGAAUCAGUUCCUGAAUCAAAAGCUGGAACUCUGGGGAGAGAAGCUUAUCAGCUUCGUCCAAAACCAGCAUCGAGCAAUGCUUAAGAAUGCAAACACACUUCUUAGUAAGAUCCAGUAUCCUUUCCAGCCUUGGUCAAGAAGGGCUUGGUGGUUAUCCACUGUACUUAUAUGGGCAAACAGCACUUGUUCCCUUCUUUAGUAGGAACUCCUUCAUUUUACUGGAUUUUAAACUCUUCUAACCUAGAUACUUCCUCCUCCACACAUUUAAUGAAAUCCGCGGAUAAGGUGUAUCCAUCAGGUUCGAGAGCUCCAACAUUGUUAUGGCAAGACCUUGGAAACUAUUUCCUGAGCUGGUGGUUGCAUUGAAAAGUCCAGAGGUGGGAAUAUUUUCUCGGCAGCUCGACGAGGUUGGAGGGUCAUCUGUGUGUAGACCUCAUCGGUUUCAGGGUCAGCAUGGCGAG